UUUCUUCGUCGAGAAAACGUAUCCAUUUCAUUCAUUCCCUACUCUAAUAUGGAGCAUUGUUCACAAGUACCGUAGACGAAUAUAGAAAUAGAAGUAAUGGUUUUGGCUUCUGAUUUUGUAAUUUUAUUGACAAACACUGGACCUCUGACUCAUUUAGUUGGGCUUUCACCCCACUCUCCCAAACUUAGCCCUAAACACAUAAAGCUUUAAAAUAACCAAAAAUAAAUACAACUAAUUUGUAGAAUGAUUCUCAAAUUACACUGUAUCUGUUUUUUUCUUUAAAUUGUAAAUAUCUGAACACAACUUAACUUGACCAAACUCGAACUAAUACGAACCAAAAAAUCAGAAUUCAAUCACUUGCACUUAAGUGAGAAUUGAUAUCUUGGUUGUGAAAGUUUCAAAACUUUGUCCGAUCCUUGGUUUCUUAGAUCACCUAAAUAACAUGAAUCUACCCUAUCUUAGAGGUUGAAAUCAAAUUGGCUUUGGAGAUGUUGGGUUUGCGUGGUUCUUAAAUAUAAUGUCUAAGGUUUUAAAUCACGUACAAAAUUAAGUUCUGAGUAGAUGUCCGUCAUAAACUGAACUCGUGAUCUCUUAAUCAUUUAUUGAGACGGUGUCUUCUCAUUUACUACUAAAUCAACCUAUGAUAGUUAUGUGUUUUCUUGUUUAAAUUAAAAAAAGUUUAUUCAAUCUCGACUAAUUUUACAAGGAACCAUCCAUCCGUUCCCCUCAGUUUAUUCUCUUCCACAUGAUCUUUAAUUGGCUUUUUCUAAUAGAAACCUUCGAGGGUAUUAUAAGCAAAAACUGUUACCUUACUUCCAUGACGGUAAUGUCUUCUAGAAUGUGACACCUAUUGGCAAAGCUAAAACCAGUCUUUGAACGGAAGGAAUCAAGUUAUAGUUAAGUUGGCCAAUCAAUAUCAGAAUCAUAUUCCUGAGCUUUGUCCCUUUCUACGAAACUCCACAAACUUUUUACUGAAGAGAUAAUCGAUAUAUAUAUAUACACACACGUAAUGGAAGACACUAAUCUCUACUUCCAAAGCUUCAAAGAUGCCCAUAUCAGAAGCAAAACAAGACCAUCACCCACAAGGUUCUUUCCACCUUCCUCUCCCUAUCAAAAUUUUCACUUUGUUGUCUCUCUGUCUCUCUUUCUAACUGUUUGAACUAUAGGGUACCCAACUGAGAACGUUGGGACAGGGAAGAAGAAACAGUUAUGGGGUACUACAAAAAAACGAGGAGAUAGGAGUUUUAUCGAAGGAUGCCUUUUUGCCCUGUGUUGCUGUUGGCUUUGUGAGGCAUGUUGCUGAUUCUCCUGGAUGAUUGUCCUGUUGUCUAUUGUAAUUAGUGUUUAUAUAUGUUCCAUCAAUAUCAGCAACACUGAUCUAGUGUAUUGUAUAAAACAACUUUAUCUAUGAGAUUGAGACUUCUGCUUGUACUGGCCUAUGGUUUUCUUGAGCAAAUGGAAGUUUUAGAUUUGAUUC